rnacentral:rRNA from 1 species
AACGCGAAGAACCUUACCUGGGUUUGACAUGCCAGGAUUAUCCCUGUGAAAGCAGGGUAGGCCCUUCGGGGUACAACUGGUACAGGUGCUGCAUGGCUGUCGUCAGCUCGUGUCGUGAGAUGUCGGGUUAAGUCCCUUAACGAGCGAAACCUUUGCCCUUAGUUACCAGCGGGUUAUGCCGGGGACUCUAAGGGGACUGCCGGUGUCAAACCGGAGGAAGGUGGAGAUGACGUCAAGUCCUCAUGGCCUUUAUGCCCAGGGCUACACACGUGCUACAAUGGGAUGGAUAAAGCGAACCUAAAGUGCAAACUCAUGGAAAUCGCAAAAAUCAUCCCUCAGUUCAGAUUGGAGGCUGCAACUCGCCUCCAUGAAGUUGGAAUCGCUAGUAAUCGCGGAUCAGCUACGCCGCGGUGAAUGUGUUCCCGGGCCUUGUACACACCGGAGUA